rnacentral:lncRNA from 1 species
GGCGUGUGCACAGCUGAGAAAUAGGAGGCUGUCACACCCGGGUUUUGGGGCACCAAGACUCGGGCACGAACAUAAUCACCAGGUGUGUUGGGACCAAGUCUCACACAUAUGAUGAUUCAUGGCACAGGAUCGAAUGUCACGUCUUUACUACAUAACAGGAGUUCUAUACAAAAUAAAUAAAUAAUUACAUUAUAAGGAGACAACGGUCCAGCAACCCAAAGUUGACUGGGAGACGAUGACCUAGAUCUCUCACGAACUCAUCGCAACAUCCUCCAUGCGCCUCAUCUUGCGGUACCUGUUCUUGACCUGUGUGGGGGGUGUGAGACAGCAAGAGUGAGCUCACAUACGUUCAUCGCUCAACAAGUUGUGGAAAAUAAUGUGCAUGAACUCGCCAAAGGUGGGAGCUCAUGUGAAGUGUAAGGCUUACCAAAGAGGAUGGUUAGAGCUGAGCAUUGCUUUUAAAGUUGGUCAAAAUUUUAUUAGCAAUUACUAAGUAUAAGUAAAUACCAACCCAAUUAAGUAGUAGAACAAAAGUAACAACAUCACCUGCGAUGCAAUGCAUAUGACAAAUUGAAUUUAGUUCCAUAAGUUAAUCAUCAGAGAGUCCUGAGCUGCUCAUGACCGUGAGCUCGGCUAGUAUACCAGUUUUACACUUUGCAGAGGUUGUACCCUUUACCCACAAGUCGUGUAUCCCAUGUCGCCAGGGUUAGCUAGACCCUUAGACACUACCGAGGUGAAUGGCUAGGGAUCCACUACGAGGCCUUUACAAAUUUCCACUAGCUUCCGAAAAUCCGCUACAGUUUAUGAGAAGCGCACUUGCAAGAAUCCCCCGUCUGACCGCCAUCGCAGCAAAAUCAACCCGAGAACCUCCUUGCAUGCAACUCCCCUACUGCCCUUGCCCCUUUCGGGUAAGGUAGUCUUCCACUAGCUUUCCUAAUUAAUCAGCCAAGGGCGUCCAUAAACCCUUGUGGUGGCACGUGUUUCUCAAGUUAAGCUCCAUGUUCCAAUUAACAUUAAUGGUCUUGACAUGAACAUAAAUAAAAUAACAAAAUAACUGGAACAUGGAUAUAAUAAAUGAUUAUCCCAAAACCAUGUAAAGCAAUAGCAAACUACCCAAGUGAUUCAGGGGUAAACAAGGUAAUGAGAUAAACAAUCUAGGGUGACCUAUCGGGUCCCAUCAAAAUUAAACCUAUGCAUGAACAUGUGACAUUAAAGAACAUUAUUGGGUAAAAAGUGGUCAAGGGCACAACUUGCCUAGCACUUGAGAUUCCAGGUACCAACUUGCCUUACAGAUGACACGUGUCCUCGCGCUAGUCGUAGCAAUACAAGCAAACAUGGUAUAGAUAAAAUUAACAUCCCACCAAAUAUAAGAACAAACUGAAUAAUAAUGAUCUACGCGUCGCUACGAGAUCGUGGAAACGAGAACUACUAAGAUCGUUGUGAGGUUACGAACUAUGGAAGAUCUACGUGAUUCAAAUAUUAAACUAUAUUAUAAAUUGAUUAGUAUACACCAUAUGAGAGAAUAUUCUAUGAAUAAUUAACUCAACUUUAAUUUAGGUCAUUACUUGAUUAAAGAUCAUCUUUUAGUCAAUUUAUAACCAUAAGAUGAGCAUACUAUAUUAAUAUUAGAAAAGCUAAUCCAAUAAACCUUAAUUAAUCCAAUUAGUUACUUAAUUAUAUAAGUACGUAAUAUCGUAUAAUUAAUGUUGCUACUGCAUAGUAAAUAUUUAUACGAAGCUAACGUGACUUGAACGGAUACAAUCGGAGUUAAAUCGGACAAGUUAUGGUUUUCAGAAGGUUUAAGUGUGGGGGUACAAAAGAAAUUAAGCGCGUAAUUUUAUCAUGGAUUCCAUGACAAAAUAGAGUUACUAGAUGAUAAAGAAUAUUAAUAUGAGACUAAUGCAACUGGAAUGAAUCAGAUCAGAGCUAAACUAUGAGAAUUAUGAAUUAAACAAGUUUGAGUUGCAUUUAUUAUUAAUUUUAAUGCCAAAAUAAACGCGAGGGACUUCUCUGCAAAUUCAGAGGACUGAUCUGUAAUUUCAAAUUUUGUUUCCGAGGUUACUGCUGUGAAAAACAGGACGGCGGGUUAGUUAUUAAAAAGUCUAGGGUCCCAUUUGUAAGUCUGGCUCGGCAAAGGGGUAUCGUCUAUUAUGGACCGCUCGAUUAUAUUUGAAUGGCCAUUGUCUAGAUAUGAAGCGGUAUUCGGCGAUGUCCGCACGAUCAGAAAUCGACGGCUCGCGAGAUCAACGGUCACAGUUUAAUGAAACACAGAUCAAAUCCGGACCAUGCGUUGGACGAUCAACGGUCCAGAAUCAACCAUGGAACGAUCUACUUCUAGUUCGAUGAAGAUCCUACGGUGACUGUGUGUCUUCUACCUCAUGCUGCUAUACCCCUUUCUAUACGUAUGCGAGACCCCAGUAACAGUAGGUACAUUAACCCAACACCACCGGCAUGGAAGAGGAGUCUCACCGUCGAUGGUGGUGAGGCUGGCCGACGAUGGAGCGCGGAUUUCGCGGCGAGCCGCAGACCCAGUGCUCGAUUCCCUCCCCUGCGGUCGCCCAGACCAUCGUUCGGCUGGACGGUGAUGACGGCGCAGCGAGCUCCGGCCCGGUGAGGAGCCGACCACGCAGCCGUCGUGUACUCGGUACGCCCGCCCAAGCUCUAUCGAAGCGCGCCGCCAGCUUUGUGAGCCCGAGACGCGACACCAGCCGCCCUCGGAUGCCUGCUACACGGCGCUCUCCCUCUCUCGGUGCGCUGGGAACGUUAGGCAAGCGCGGUAGCCGCAAGGAACUUUCCCAUGCAACUGCGACCAGGUUUAUAGAGGUGGGCGAGGGGUAAGACGGGCUGGCUGCACGCAG